rnacentral:rRNA from 1 species
GACGAACGCUGGCGGCGUGCUUAACACAUGCAAGUCGGACGAUGAAGAGAGCUUGCUCUUGGAUUAGUGGCGAACGGGUGAGUAACACGUGAGUAACCUGCCCUUCACUCUGGGAUAAGCCUUGGAAACGGGGUCUAAUACUGGAUAUUACUGGAGCCUGCCUGGGUUCUGGUGGAAAGCUUUAUGUGGUGGAGGAUGGACUCGCGGCCUAUCAGCUUGUUGGUGAGGUAGUGGCUCACCAAGGCGACGACGGGUAGCCGGCCUGAGAGGGUGACCGGCCACACUGGGACUGAGACACGGCCCAGACUCCUACGGGAGGCAGCAGUGGGGAAUAUUGCACAAUGGGCGAAAGCCUGAUGCAGCGACGCCGCGUGAGGGAUGAAGGCCUUCGGGUUGUAAACCUCUUUCAUCGCCGAAGAAGCGAGAGUGACGGUAGGCGAAGAAGAAGCACCGGCUAACUACGUGCCAGCAGCCGCGGUAAUACGUAGGGUGCGAGCGUUGUCCGGAAUUAUUGGGCGUAAAGAGCUUGUAGGCGGUUUGUCGCGUCUGCUGUGAAAAUCUGGGGCUUAACUCCGGACGUGCAGUGGGUACGGGCAGACUAGAGUGUGGUAGGGGAGACUGGAAUUCCUGGUGUAGCGGUGAAAUGCGCAGAUAUCAGGAGGAACACCGAUGGCGAAGGCAGGUCUCUGGGCCAUAACUGACGCUGAGAAGCGAAAGCAUGGGUAGCGAACAGGAUUAGAUACCCUGGUAGUCCAUGCCGUAAACGUUGGGCGCUAGGUGUGGGGCUCAUUCCACGAGUUCCGUGCCGCAGCUAACGCAUUAAGCGCCCCGCCUGGGGAGUACGGCCGCAAGGCUAAAACUCAAAGGAAUUGACGGGGGCCCGCACAAGCGGCGGAGCAUGCGGAUUAAUUCGAUGCAACGCGAAGAACCUUACCAAGGCUUGACAUACACCGGAAACGGCCAGAGAUGGUCGCCCCGCAAGGCUGGUGUACAGGUGGUGCAUGGUUGUCGUCAGCUCGUGUCGUGAGAUGUUGGGUUAAGUCCCGCAACGAGCGCAACCCUCGUUCCAUGUUGCCAGCACGUAGUGGUGGGGACUCAUGGGAGACUGCCGGGGUCAACUCGGAGGAAGGUGGGGAUGACGUCAAAUCAUCAUGCCCCUUAUGUCUUGGGCUUCACGCAUGCUACAAUGGCCAGUACAGAGUGCUGCGAGACCGUGAGGUGGAGCGAAUCACUUAAAGCUGGUCUCAGUUCGGAUUGGGGUCUGCAACUCGACCCCAUGAAGUCGGAGUCGCUAGUAAUCGCAGAUCAGCAACGCUGCGGUGAAUACGUUCCCGGGCCUUGUACACACCGCCCGUCAAGUCACGAAAGUCGGUAACACCCGAAGCCGGUGGCCUAACCCCUUGUGGGGGGGAGCCGUCUAAGGUGGGACUGGCGAUUGGGACU